CGUGCUUAACACAUGCAAGUCGAACGAAGCACUUUAUUUGAUUUCCUUCGGGACUGAUUAUUUUGUGACUGAGUGGCGGACGGGUGAGUAACGCGUGGGUAACCUGCCUUGUACAGGGGGAUAACAGUUGGAAACGGCUGCUAAUACCGCAUAAGCGCACAGUAUCGCAUGAUGCAGUGUGAAAAACUCCGGUGGUAUAAGAUGGACCCGCGUUGGAUUAGCUAGUUGGUGAGGUAACGGCCCACCAAGGCGACGAUCCAUAGCCGACCUGAGAGGGUGACCGGCCACAUUGGGACUGAGACACGGCCCAAACUCCUACGGGAGGCAGCAGUGGGGAAUAUUGCACAAUGGGCGAAAGCCUGAUGCAGCGACGCCGCGUGAGCGAAGAAGUAUUUCGGUAUGUAAAGCUCUAUCAGCAGGGAAGAUAAUGACGGUACCUGACUAAGAAGCACCGGCUAAAUACGUGCCAGCAGCCGCGGUAAUACGUAUGGUGCAAGCGUUAUCCGGAUUUACUGGGUGUAAAGGGAGCGCAGGCGGUGCGGCAAGUCUGAUGUGAAAGCCCGGGGCUCAACCCCGGUACUGCAUUGGAAACUGUCGUACUAGAGUGUCGGAGGGGUAAGCGGAAUUCCUAGUGUAGCGGUGAAAUGCGUAGAUAUUAGGAGGAACACCA
rnacentral:rRNA from 1 species